CCUACGGGCGGCACCAGUGGGGAAUAUUGCACAAUGGGCGCAAGCCUGAUGCAGCCAUGCCGCGUGUGUGAAGAAGGCCUUCGGGUUGUAAAGCACUUUCAGCGGGGAGGAAGGCGUUAAGGUUAAUAACCUCAUCGAUUGACGUUACCCGCAGAAGAAGCACCGGCUAACUCCGUGCCAGCAGCCGCGGUAAUACGGAGGGUGCAAGCGUUAAUCGGAAUUACUGGGCGUAAAGCGCACGCAGGCGGUCUGUCAAGUCGGAUGUGAAAUCCCCGGGCUCAACCUGGGAACUGCAUUCGAAACUGGCAGGCUAGAGUCUUGUAGAGGGGGGUAGAAUUCCAGGUGUAGCGGUGAAAUGCGUAGAGAUCUGGAGGAACACCAGUGGCGAAGGCGGCUUACUGGUCUGCAACUGACGCUGAGGCGCGAAAGCGUGGGGAGCAAACAGGAUUAGAUACCCGAGUAGUC
rnacentral:rRNA from 1 species